AGGCGGUUGGCGUAAAUGGUAGCGCAGCCUGUAACUUAAAGAUACCUUUCUUAUCACAGGUAAGAUGUCGGUUCGAUUCCGGCACCGUCUCCCCA
rnacentral:tRNA from 1 species